GAGCCUGAGAAAUGGCUACCACAUCUAAGGAAGGCAGCAGGCGCGUAAAUUACCCAAUCCUAAUUCAGGGAGGUAGUGACAAGAAAUAACAACUCGGACCUCACACGAGGUUACGAGAUUGCAAUGAGAACAAUUUAAACCUCUUAUCGAGUAACAAUUGGAGGGCAAGUCUGGUGCCAGCAGCCGCGGUAAUUCCAGCUCCAAUAGCGUAUAUUAAAGUUGUUGCAGUUAAAAAGCUCGUAGUUGAAAAUCUGGCCGGUGCUGUUCUCGGCUCCCUGAGUCGGCUCAGCGCCUGGUCAUCCGUACGGGAAACUAGCUCGACCUUCACUGGUCGGCUAGUGGAUCGUACACUUUACUUUGAAAAAAUUAGAGUGUUUCAGGCAGGCAAUUGCUUGGAUACUGUAGCAUGGAAUAAUGGAAUAGGACUUUGACCUAUUUGUUGGUUUCUCGAGGUCAAAGUAAUGAUUAAUAGGGACAGUUGGGGGCAUUCGUAUUUAAUUGUCAGAGGUGAAAUUCUUGGAUUUUUUAAAGACGAACUUAUGCGAAAGCAUUUGCCAAGGAUGUU
rnacentral:rRNA from 1 species